GAUGAACGCUGACAGAAUGCUUAACACAUGCAAGUCGAUGGGGAAGUGGUGCUUGCACCAUGGUAACCAUGGCGGACGGGUGAGUAACGCGUAAGGAACUUGCCUGCGGGACUGGGAUAACAGCAGGAAACUGCUGAUAAUACCGGAUAAGGUCAUUAAGCUGCAUAGCUUAGUGAUGAAAGGAGACGCCUGCGGAGAGCCUUGCGUCCUAUUAGCUAGUUGGAGGGGUAACGGCCCACCAAGGCGAAGAUAGGUAGCCGGCCUGAGAGGGUGGACGGCCACAAGGGGACUGGGAUACGGCCCUUACUCCUACGGGAGGCAGCAGUGGGGAAUAUUGGACAAUGGGGGCAACCCUGAUCCAGCAAUUCUGUGUGCACGAAGACGGUUUUCGGAUUGUAAAGUGCUUUCAGCAGGGAAGAAGGAAGUGACGGUACCUGCAGAAGAAGCGACGGCUAAAUACGUG
rnacentral:rRNA from 1 species